rnacentral:rRNA from 1 species
CCAAGGAGUCUAACAUGUGCGCGAGUCAUUGGGAUGAUUGAAACCUAAAGGCGCAAUGAAAGUGAAGAUCGUCCUUAGCGUCGAUCGAGGGAGGAUGGCUCGUGUCACGAUGCGAGCUCGCACUCCCGGGGCGUCUCGUGCUCAUUGCGAGCUGAGGCGCACCCAGAGCGUACACGUUGGGACCCGAAAGAUGGUGAACUAUGCCUGGUCAGGACGAAGUCAGGGGAAACCCUGAUGGAGGUCCGUAGCGAUUCUGACGUGCAAAUCGAUCGUCGGAACUGGGUAUAGGGGCGAAAGACUAAUCGAACCAUC